UACAGAGGGGGCAAGCGUUGUUCGGAAUUACUGGGCGUAAAGGGCGCGUAGGCGGCCUUCUAAGUCGAACGUGAAAUCCCCGGGCUCAACCCGGGAACUGCGUCCGAUACUGGAAGGCUUGAAUUCGGGAGAGGGAUGCGGAAUUCCAGGUGUAGCGGUGAAAUGCGUAGAUAUCUGGAGGAACACCGGUGGCGAAGGCAGUUCUCUGGGCCGUAACUGACGCUGAGGAGCGAAAGCGUGGGGAGCGAACAGG
rnacentral:rRNA from 1 species